UAGGGAAUCUUCCGCAAUGGACGCAAGUCUGACGGAGCAACGCCGCGUGAGUGAAGAAGGAUUUCGGUUCGUAAAACUCUGUCGUUAGAGAAGAACAGCGCAUAGAGUAACUGUUAUGCGUGUGACGGUAUCUAACCAGAAAGCCACGGCUAACUACGUGCCAGCAGCCGCGGUAAUACGUAGGUGGCAAGCGUUGUCCGGAUUUAUUGGGCGUAAAGCGAGCGCAGGCGGUUAGAUAAGUCUGAAGUUAAAGGCAGUGGCUCAACCAUUGUAGGCUUUGGAAACUGUUUAACUUGAGUGCAGAAGGGGGGAGUGGAAUUCCAUGUGUAGCGGUGAAAUGCGUAGAUAUAUGGAGGAACACCGGUGGCGAAAGCGGCUCUCUGGUCUGUAACUGACGCUGAGGCUCGAAAGCGUGGGGAGCGAACAGG
rnacentral:rRNA from 1 species